GAGGUUGUGCCCUUGAGGCGUGGCUUCCGGAGCUAACGCGUUAAGUAGACCGCCUGGGGAGUACGGCCGCAAGGUUAAAACUCAAAUGAAUUGACGGGGGCCCGCACAAGCGGUGGAGCAUGUGGUUUAAUUCGAUGCAACGCGAAGAACCUUACCUGGUCUUGACAUCCACAGAACUUUCCAGAGAUGGAUUGGUGCCUUCGGGAACUGUGAGACAGGUGCUGCAUGGCUGUCGUCAGCUCGUGUUGUGAAAUGUUGGGUUAAGUCCCGCAACGAGCGCAACCCUUAUCCUUUGUUGCCAGCGAUUAGGUCGGGAACUCAAAGGAGACUGCCAGUGAUAAACUGGAGGAAGGUGGGGAUGACGUCAAGUCAUCAUGGCCCUUACGACCAGGGCUACACACGUGCUACAAUGGCGCAUACAAAGAGAAGCGACCUCGCGAGAGCAAGCGGACCUCAUAAAGUGCGUCGUAGUCCGGAUUGGAGUCUGCAACUCGACUCCAUGAAGUCGGAAUCGCUAGUAAUCGUGGAUCAGAAUGCCACGGUGAAUACGUUCCCGGGCCUUGUACACACCGCCCGUCACACCAUGGGAGUGGGUUGCAAAAGAAGUAGGUAGCUUAACCUUCGGGAGGGCGCUUACCACUUUGUGAUUCAUGACUGGGGUGAAGUCGUAACAAGGUAACCGUAGGGGAACCUGCGGUUGGAUCACCUCCUUACCUUAAAGAAGC
rnacentral:rRNA from 2 species